AGUGAACCAGCUCGGGGUAAACUGAUCCACUUACUUUUUACACUCUGAAACUACCAUAACAGCACAUAUUGUAACAGAUAAAAUCCUGACGGCUAGCUUGACAACCACACAUUCCAGAACUAAUGUUGGACUAGUAAGAGAAUCAAGGGGAUUGGUCAAUUAAGAACAUAAUUUUUCUAAACACUUGAAAGUACAGUAACUCUGAACCAAAAUCAAAUACAACAUAACAUAAUUCAAAAGUUAUAUUUUUUGGCCAGUUUUUGCCUUUAUUUAACAGUGAGUUUUGGAGAGGACAGGAAAGUACAGGGAGGAGAGAAGGGUAUUGGAUCGGCAAAUGACCACGAGCCGGGAAUCGAACUCCCAGAAAGUGUGAAAGCACCACAUGUCGGAGCGCUGCCCACUGUAGACCAUUGGCUCCGACAAUUCAAAUUUUUUUAAUUAACAUUCAAAUGACAUAUAGAACCAGUUAGAUUAAAACGCAGUCUGGGGGUCAGAACAAAGGACCCUUAGAGCCAGCUAGUGUCUGCGGGUCAGCGCAAAAGACAAUCAGAACCAUCUAUCAAUAUUUCUAUCCCUUGCAGCUGCUCUUACUGUGGGUUCACACCAGACGUGAGUUCAACGAUUUGUGCAAGUAGAUUACAUUCAAAGUUAAUGCAAAGACACGAUCAGACGCAUCCUCGCCUGGGGCGAUGCGAAUGACGCCAUAUGAGCGGAGCAUUUGCCGCGAAAACACGCACUAUUCACCUCAAACAUGUCUUCGCCCAAGUUGAAAAUAUUUAUCUCGAACGAAAAAUUUGCAUGACACAAUGUUAAAUCCCGUGAGUAAUCUAGAGUGAAUAAUGCUACGUACACACCAAAUGCGGGGCAGUGCGUUACUUGAUCUAGAUUACUCGCAGGAUUUAACAUUGUGUAAUGGAAUUUUUCGCUCAAGUUGAAUAUUUUCAAAUUGGGCGAAGACAUGUUUGCGGCGAAUAGCGCGUGUUUUCGUGGAAAACGCGCCACCCAUAUCACGUCAUUCGCAUCGCCACAUGCGAGGACGUGUCUGAUUGCGUCUUUGCAUUGACUUUGUAUGUAAUCUACUUGCGCAAAUUGUUGAACUUGUGUCUGGUGUGAACCCACAGUACCAUGAUGCCUCGCGUUUGGUGUGUACGUAGCAUUAGAGAAUUCUUUCCUUCCUUGACCUAAGCAGCUGCACUCUCCAUCUCCUCAAGGGGUGUUUUUCCCCAGGCUGUCUUCCUGGUGUAUUGACUAGGCAUAAUGGUUUUUCUGCAAUGUUUAUAACAUUAAAAAUAAAACAUAUGUAAUGUAAUAUUACAUUAAAAUAUGUUUUAGACUAAACUGAACUUGUGCCUCAUGUCUCACUUUACCCCACAUCAUUUGUCUCACUUUACCCCACCACCACAUUUUGGAAAAAAACUCUCUCUCUUGGAAAUUCAGGCUAAUCUUCAGCUAGCAUCAACACAAGGUUUUAUAUGUUGGUAGUUCAUAAACAUGUGUGAUAUAAGUUUUUCUACCUGAAUCAAUUUGCUUUGGCACAACAGUUGAUUAAGUUGACAGCAAGAAAAUUUACUUUUACAAGCAAAAAAUAUAUUUUUGUGAAAAAAACAUGUCAACCACAGCAGCAUGAGGUCCUGUCCUUCAUGGCCAAGGGGAAAUUUGAGGGGCUUAAAAACAUAAUGGUCAUAGGACCACAAAUGUGUUCAGUUGCCUAGAUACAGGGGGUGUCUCACUUUACCCGAUGUCUCACUUUACCCCACUCUCCCCUACUCUAUUGUUAUAAUAUGUCUUUUUGACUGAAUACAUGUUUGUUUUAUUUGUCUAUAUCCUAGAUUCGCAGCUGGACACAUCCUUCUACACUGUAUGCAAACAUGCAACAUCAUUACACACAGUACAAGGAGUCUGACUGGCAUAUGAGGAGCAAAGGAACCCAGGCAGUAGCAUCGUUUCACAAUGUUUCAAUCACCAUCAUCAGUGGAUGCCUUUGCCGUCCGUAGCCUGAGAUUUCAGAUUUGCAGCAAAAAAAUUAGAUUUUCUCAUUUAUUGGAAUGCUAUGCAGGUUGUACCUUGCAGCCAUCCAUUACAAUGUCACCAAGCCGUAACAAAAGCAGGAGAGGGAAAGUACAAGGCUAUGUUCACAAAACACACAAGUGACAUACCGUAAGCAGUAAUGUUUUAUUUCAAAUACAUUCAUAAUUAAAAACUUAAUGUAUGAAGCAGGGAAAUAAAUGAUCAAAACAAAAGAUUUAUUGACUGCAAUAUUUGUACAGUUAUGUGGAUGAUGUGAUCAGGCUUGUGUUUGAUGAGGUAUUUGAAGAUAAGCUGAAGGAAACCCCGAUUCCAAUGGACCUGGCAUCACAGUUUGAGAGACCUUCAAAGGAGGACGUGAUUGCAUGCCAUCUUCAGUGCAGGGGUCGUCGAAAGCCAAAAUUGUGACCGAUCUGAUCAGGAAGCUCCAAGCAUAUCUGGAGAACAACACACGACAGGAUGAUAACCUUAUAGUGUCAUCUUAAAUAGCACCAGCUGACAAAGCUUUGAUAUGCCAUUUAUCUGAAUAGAUAGCUGUAAGAAAUGAAUUGAACAAUUUUUGA